UCCCUGGUUGAUCCUGCCAGUAGUCAUAUGCUUGUCUCAAAGAUUAAGCCAUGCAUGUCUCAGUGCAUGCCGAAUUAAGGUGAAACCGCGAAUGGCUCAUUAAAUCAGUUAUGGUUCAUUAGAUUGUACCCACAUUUACUUGGAUAACUGUGGUAAUUCUAGAGCUAAUACAUGCAAAACAGAUGAAACCGCGAAUGACUCAUUAAAUCAGUUAUGGUUCAUUAGAUUG
rnacentral:ncRNA from 1 species